rnacentral:lncRNA from 1 species
GCUAUAAUUAAUAUAUUUAUUAUAUUUCCUCUUAAAGAAAUAUCAAGUCUCUGGUUCACUACAUUGCUGCAGUAUUUAAAGGGUUCACUCAUCAUCUCCACUUUCAAAUCAAAACCACACCAAAAAAGAUUAACAACAACAGGAAAUGUCUAUAUCAAAUCUAAUUUCUCUCAACCAACAAUGGCUUCCAAUUCUUGCAGUCUUUCUUCUUCCAAUUUUCACCCUCUUUCUCUUCAAAAGCAAGAAGAGAACUGAAGGUCCUAAACUACCACCAGGUCCAAGACGACUCCCCAUUAUUGGCAAUCUUCACCAGUUAGGCGACAGGCCGUACUACGAUUUGUGGAAAUUGUCACAAAAAUAUGGCCCUGUCAUGCGAGUUCAAUUAGGGAGAUCACCUGGNNNNNNNNNNNNNNNNNNNNNNNNNNNNNNNNNNNNNNNNNNNNNNNNNNNNNNNNNNNNNNNNNNNNNNNNNNNNNNNNNNNNNNNNNNNNNNNNNNNNNNNNNNNNNNNNNNNNNNNNNNNNNNNNNNNNNNNNNNNNNNNNNNNNNNNNNNNNNNNNNNNNNNNNNNNNNNNNNNNNNNNNNNNNNNNNNNNNNNNNNNNNNNNNNNNNNNNNNNNNNNNNNNNNNNNNNNNNNNNNNNNNNNNNNNNNNNNNNNNNNNNNNNNNNNNNNNNNNNNNNNNNNNNNNNNNNNNNNNNNNNNNNNNNNNNNNNNNNNNNNNNNNNNNNNNNNNNNNNNNNNNNNNNNNNNNUGGAUAUGUUAAACGGUUUUCAUGCGGAGGAUUUUUUCCCUAGUGCUGGAAGAUUCAUUGAUUCUUUGACUGGUGCUCUUGCUAAAAGAGAACAAACUUUCAGAAACCUUGAUGCGUAUUUUCAGAAAAUUCUUGAGCGGCAUCUGGACCCAAAUAGACCUAAGCCUGAACAUGAAGAUAUUGUUGAUGUCUUGGUUGGGCUGAUGAGAGACCAAGGUGCUUCUUUCCAACUUACUAAAGACCAUCUCAAGUCGAUUCUCAUGGUAUCAAAUUCAAUUUUUCUUUCAAAUAAUGUUCUUUCUUUUUUGUGGAUCUCCAGGCUAAUCUUCUAAAACUAUAAUACAUUUUUUGGCAGGAUAUCUUUGUGGGUGGCAUUGAUACAAGUUCUGUGACAACCGCAUGGGCAUUCACAGAGAUACUAAAGAAUCCAAGAAUAAUGAAAAAAGUACAAGAAGAGAUAAGAGGAAUUGUUGGACCAAAUAAAAACAGAGUAGAAGGAAGAGAUCUUGAUAAAUUCAAAUACUUGGAAUUAAUAGUAAGAGAAACCUUCAGAAUACACCCACCAGUCCCACUUCUGAUCCCUCAUUUUUGCACCAAAAAAUGCAAAAUUGGUGGGUAUGACAUUUUACCAGGCACAACAGUAUUCAUCAACACUUAUGCACUUGGAAGAGAACCAUCUAAGUGGGAGAACCCUGAAGAAUUUUACCCAGAAAGAUUUGAGAACAGUGAUGUUGAUUACAGAGGGUCCUACUUUGAGUUGGUCCCAUUCGGAGCUGGAAGAAGAAUUUGUCCUGGUCUGGCAAUGGGUACUACAGCAGUUAAAUACACAUUGGCUAAUCUCUUAUAUGGGUUUGAUUUUGAGCUCCCUAAUGGAAAGAAAUUUGAGGACUUUCCAAUGGAAGAAGCUGGUGGUCUCACUAUCCAUAACAAGCACGAUCUUAUACUUAUUCCAAAAAAGCACAAGUGGGACUAAGAUUUUAUUAUUUUUUAUUUUUGUUUCCCUAUUUUAGGCUUUUUUUUCUCGUUGAUGUCAUGUGUUAUGCCUCAAUAAUAAAUAAAUAAAAUGGUGCAUCACCAUUAAAUUUCCUAUAUUUAUGUGUUGGAUUUUAUUGUUAAUAGUGAUUAUCUCUAUAUUUAAGAAUCAUAAAUCCAAAUAUUGCCUUAAUGAAAGACCUUCCACCCUUCUUCCUGCCAAAUUUUUAAUUUGAAAUUUAUAUUCUGGAGAAGAGGUGGUGCAAAUAAAUAAUUUGGAUUUAAAUUUAUGAUGAGGUUCUAUUAUAUUACCAAAAUAACUGGAAUUGAUAAUAUGAAUGAUUGUCUUUUUUUUUUUCUUUUGGAAAAAUAAAUGAUUUUCCUUUAGAACUUACUACUAUACUUCUUACAUUCUUGGUUACUUCCAACUCUACCAACAGAAUAAUAACUUCGGGUAUGUUCAAUAAAUUUAGCUGUUCUAGUAAUUCUUGGCUGUUUUAAUAGCUGUAAGUAUUUUACUGGUAGUUAGCUAUUUAAUAUUAAGUGUUAAUGGUUAUCCAUUAUAUAGCGGUUUAGAAUAAAAGUGUUGGCUAGGAUGAUUAGCUGUUUACUAUAAAAUGACAAAAAAUGUAUGAAAGCGAGGAACAAAGUAAGACAAGUGAUGAGUAUAAGUGUCAUAAAGAAAUUAUAAAACGCUAAAUGUUAAUAAAGAUAACAUUUCAUAAAACACGGUCUCAUAUUCUAAAAGCUAGAGUAUAUAUUAUAUUACUGAACACUAUAACUAUUAGUAAUCAAAAAAAUUAGAUUUGUAAUAAUAAAUAAGUUUAAAGUUAAAUUUGAUGUUAUUAUUAAAUCUUUAGUUUUUCACCUCCUCAUUUAUGUUAUAUAUAUGAAAGUUGAAACAAGAAGAAAGUUUUAGACUUUAUCUUUAUUCGGUAUUUUAUUUGUAAGAGAACAAUCUUUCUCGACGACUUGCGAUGAAUCGAUGGACUCCAGAAGUUUCGUUUUCUUUUUUGAGAAAUUUUUUAAUUUUUUCUUGAUUUUCUACAUUUUGAUUGGAUAAUUUUUUAAUUUUAAAAAUUAAUGGUAAUACAUUUGAAGAAUUAUAUUCAUAUAAUAAUUCUAUUUGAAAAUUAAAUUUAACAAAUUCAAACUUAAUCUAUUUAUUUUAUUAUAAAUUUAAUCUACUUAUAUUUCUUAUGUAAAACGAUAUUCAACCUUUCUUUCUUUUUUUCCUCUUUAAUUUGCCAAACUGUCUGAUUGUUAAGUGAUGGAUGUCUUUUUUUACAUAAAUUUAGCAAACGGAUAGUUUCAACUCUCAUAAAUAAUGAUCUAAUGCAUAAAUUUGAUUUUAAUAAUUUUUAGCGAUUAUUUUUGUGGCCUCUUGAAUUUUGCAAGAAACAUUUCAUGACUCUGCAUUUUCAUAUUUCAAUAAUAACUAUACUCAUGACUAAAAUGAAAUAUGAAAAUGUAGGGUCAUUGAUAUGAAAUUUUAGUAAUAUUUGAUUUUGGCGAGAGACAUAGCUAUUAAUGAAAUGUGAAAAUGUAGGAUUAUAAUUGGACCCUCGCAAAGUUCAAGAGACUACAAAGAUAAUCGAUAAAAGUUUAGAGUCAAAUUUAUGCAUUAGACGCACGUAUAAUAUAUUUCUGUGAAUUUUUAAAUUUAUUUCUAAAAAAAGUCAAAUUUCUUGAUUGAAAAGUAAAUUCCCUGAUUUGUACUAAUAUAUGAUUAUAUGUACAAGUAAUUCAUUUAAAAUACUAUAAAUUUUACGUGUUAUAACGAUUUUAUCAUAAGUUGAUCCUUUAAACACUAUAAAUUUAUAUUACAAUUGCACCCCAACUUAAAAUCUAAAAUAGAAAUGAAUAAACAAUAGAAGUGAUGGGACCCACGCUUCACGAGACUUGAGUUAAAUUUCAAAUUGUCAUCGUUACAUUCAUAAGCUGGUUUUAAACGAUAACCAUAUGGAGCCACAAUUGUCAUACAUAUAGUAAUUGAUGAAUUACAGAUGCUACUUUUCUUUUUAUCAAAUUUUUUUUUUUUUAUUGUGUAAGUGAAAGUGAUUAAGAAAUGGGGAAUUAAUUAAAAUAUUACCUAUUCGAUGGCAUGUGUUCCAAUAUUAAGACUGUAUAUUAUAUUAUAUUAUAUUAUAUUAUAAAGAGAGAGGAGUUAAUUGUUGGAGAUAGGAAAAUGAAUUUUUUUUGUAAUUUUGUUCAAACAUUGAAAAUCUCCCACAAAUUCUCCUUCCUCUGCAAUUUUCUUAACAUCAUCCAAACAGAGGAAAAUAACUUUCCUCAUUUAUUUUACUCAAUUAUUUUCCUUUCUCGGCUAUUUUCCACCCUUCCAGACGCACAUUUAAACAUUUAUGUGGAUUCCUUAGAUUUUUUUUUUUAUUUGGUUGAGAAAAAGUAAUUCAUAAAAUUUAUGAAUUUCAUCAUAACUUUAAUUUCAUCGUUUCGAGAGAGAGAAAUCUCAGCUCGAAGUUGAGAACCUUAUUAAUUACAUAGUUUUAUAUGAACGAUGGAAGUUAAAUCAUUUAAUUUUAUUUUAAAAAUAACAUUCAAAUCUAUGCAAUUAUUUUCAAUCAAAUAAUAAAAUAUAAGUUUCUAUACAAUAAAAUAAUAAAAUAUUAAGCUGAUUUUCUUUUUAUCAAAUAUUUUUUUUAUUGUGUAAGUGAAAGUGAUUAAGAAAUGGGGAAUUAAUUAAAAUAUUAUAUUUUGGUAAGCCAAUCAUCUUGGCAACAUGCAUAUAUAUAUUUUGGUACCAUAAUUAGGAAAAUGACUUAUAUAAGAGUUAUUCUCCUAAAGUUCAAACUUGAAACUUUUAUUAAAGGAAAAUGAGUUCCAACCACUUCGAACAAUGUGAAUUGAUAAAUAACAGUGAUAUUCUUUUUUUUUUUUUUUCAUCAAUUACUAUUUACAGUCAAUAUUAAAUCUAUUACAAUUAUUACAACCUAUCAAGGACAAUACAACAUAAAGGGGCAAAAAUACAAAUUAUAAUUAAAUGUUGACAUGUAUGAGAAUUAAAUCUGGGAUCUUUGAGUCUUGAGUCCCAAUGCAUCAUUACUAUUAAAAAAUAGAAAUUAAAUGCAUUUGACUGAAUUAUUUUGCUGAAAUAUUAAAAUUAUUAAACAUUUAUUCUUUUCAUAUAUUUUUUUAAUUUUUCAUUACCUUAUCUUUUCUCUCUAAAUUAAAGUCUUAAAAAUUUCUUAUAUAAGAAAAAGAGAGUGAGAAGAAAAUAAAAGAAAGGUAAUAAUCUUAAAAAUCUAAAAAAAUAAAUAAAGUAAAAUAAUUGAAUAAAAUAGUUCACGUUGUUUAUACUUAGUUUACUGUACAUGUAGAUCUAUACACUGAGUGCAGAUAAAUCAUUUCCUUAUUUUUUCAGGAUUACAUUUUCUUUAUAUAUAUAUAUAUAUAUAUAUAUAUAUAUAUAUCCUUCCUGCAAUUUUUUAUUUUCUACAAUGGUUAUUUAUUCUCAACGGUCGAUGAAAUGUUUUAUCAUAGAGCCAAAUCCUCAAUACUUUAAUUAAGAAUUCAAGUAAAACAAUCAUUCUUAUAAUUUAUAGACUUUAAUAUUUGAUACACUAAAAUUGUUAAUUCGCGUUUAAUUUUUUUUAGAGUACCAACGGUGUGCAUGCCUGUGUAACCUGUGUAUGUAUAUAGUCGUAUUUUCAAUAAAAAUAUUUAAUUUUAUUUAUUUAGAAUAUAAGUGAGGUGAUAGACUCGGAUAGGCUAAGUUUAUAUAUAUAUAUAUAUAUAUAUAUUGACAUGCUCAUGUAACAUGUGUAAGUAUAUAGAUGUAUUUUCAAUAAAAAUAUUUAAUUUCAUUUAUUUAGAAUAUAAAUGAAGUGAUAGAGUCGGAUGGGAAAAAUUAUAUUUUUCUGUUAGUUAAUGCUUAUUCUGAUAACCAUAUCAUUAUCACACCAAUUACUUAUACUACGUGGAUGCAUUAGCCACCUAAUAUUUCCAUCAACUCGAAGGGCCUUUGCAUGUGGACGUAGUAGGGGUGCAUGGAACAAUGUAGAAAGAAAGUGAAUUAUACGAUUUCUAAUCAUACGCCUAUAACUUGUGCACAAUUUAAUAUUUUUUUACUGUAUUAGAUAAUAUAGCGUUUAAACUGAAUUUUAGACAUUAAUUUAGUGUUUAUAAAAAGUUAACUCAUAUAAAAUAUAAUUUUUAGCGUUUUAUGAAAAGCAACUCAAACAGCUAAACGUUAAACGAUACUCAAACAGUUAACAACUACCAAAAUAACUAAUUUGGCUAAACAUAUCCUUCCAUGCACAACUAUUAAAAUUUAAGCAAUUUCCUUCAAUAUUUGUUCCUUGAAUUUGUGAGAAUAGACUUUGUAUAAUUUUAUUUAGAAUUGGAUUUUAUUUAAGUUUCUGAGUAUGGGUUUUAAACAAAUAAAAUUUAAGAUAGUUAAUCAUUGUUACACAUUUUGUAUUUUUCUCAGCAGGAUGAUGAGAAGACAUUGGAUUGUCUAUGAUAGAUAAUUUAGAAAUAAAUUUGUUUAUUAGAAUAUAAUUAUGAAAAUGUCGUUUUUAUGUUAGAAUAUCUUUUACAUCUUCCUUUUCUUGAGUUGCAUAUUAGAUUAUCCAGUUUGUACACUUGAACACUCUUAUACAGAGAGAUGUUGCUAAAAUUUCGAUGAAUAUAUAGUAGAAAAUCCGCCUUUAUAUUUAUAUGCAUAAAUAUUCUAAAUGACAUAGGUUGAUACUGAAAAUUUAAGAAAAUAUAAGGAGAUUUAGGAUAUUUAUUGACGGAUAUAUAUAUAUUGAUGGCUUGUAAAUUGUAUAAUACCCUAGAUGCCUCAAACAUGAACAUGUGGCUAGAUUGCUAGACACAUUCGAAGUCAUCUAUUGUGGUCCACAUGUUGUACAUUAAGAUUGAAAUGCUUUGAACUAGCUAGACAAGUUAACGCAAUUUCCAAAUAAUUGUUGUAGUGAGAAGGGUGGCUGCCGAUCUACUCCAUCACGCCGUAUUGGAGGUUGGUAAACUAGUCACUUAAUUUGUUAGUAUUAACUUUUUAGCAUUGGUUGAUCACUGGACUUUACAUUGGAGUGCUUCAUCUGAUCAUCUACAUUUUAUACAAAUUUGAAGGAAUUCAACCACAUUUAUCCCAUCUAGUCACCAACUAUAAAUUAGAGAAGUAAGAAACCUUGCUAAAAAUCAUUAAGAUAAAGAAUAUAAUCGGCCAUCUUAUGGGCACUAAAAUUGAUUUGUAAUGAGAGUUUUAUUCUCUUUUCAUUGUUAGUUAUAAAAUAGACAUGACAUUUUUCUUUAUCAAAUUAGUAUAACCUUUUAUAAUGAAAUACAUUUGAUUUCGAAAAUAAAAUUUGAGAAAACUAACUUGUUUUUCUUGAUGAAUGAAAGAAGAAGGUUAGCUUUAUAUAGCUGUACAUUACAACUGAAAAGAAAAAGAAAAAGGAGUCCAAUAAAACAAUUUUGAAUAAAAUAAAACAAUUUGCGACCGACUUUCAUAAUUGCGACAGACUUUUUCUACGACCAAUAUGCGACAGCGUUUCAAAAUAAAAACACGACCAAACUUUGCGAUCGAUUUUUAAAUUUUGCGACCGAUUUUAUCGAUCGCUAAUUUGUGACCGACCCAAAAAUCAGUCGCAAUUGACUUUGCGACGACGUUUUUUGCGACCGAUAUCUUUAGGUCCCUGAUCGGUCGCUAAUUGAAAUUAGCGACCGAUUUUUGGCAUUUUGCGACCGAUCCGUUUUUUUUGUAGUAUAUAUAUAUAUAUAUUGACAUAAUGAGAAAAAUUAUAUUUUAAUGUUUAUUCUGGUAACCAUAUCAUUAUCAUAUCACCCACCUACCAAUUACUUAUACGACGUGGAUGCAUUAGCCACCUAAUAUUUCCAUCAACGCGAAGGGCCUCUGCAUGUGGACGUAGUAGGGGUGCAUGGAACGAUGUAGAAAGAAAGUGAAUUAUACAAUUUCUAAUCAUGCGCCUGUAACUUGUGCAUAAUUUAAUAUUUUUUUACAGUAUUAGAUAAUAUAGCGUUUAAACUGACUUUUAGAUAUUAAUUUAAUCUUUUAUAAAAGUUAACUCAUAUAAAAUUUAACUUUUAGAGUUUUAUGAAAAGUUAUUCAAACAGCUAAAUGUUAAACGGCACUCAAACAGCUAACAACUACCAAAACAACUAAUUUGGCCAAACGUAUCUUUCCAUGCACAACUAUUAAUAUUUAAGCAAAUUCCUUCAAUAUUUGUAUUACAUAGAAUAAGCACCUGUAGUGCAAUUCAUUAAAAGAACUUAUCAAGUAUAAUUCUUAAUUAAUUAAAUGAAGCAGUCACACAAGAAGGAAGAAACGAUAAGAUUACAAAUAAUACAAAAAUCCUAUUUAUACACCAAACUUAACUUGCCUAAUUUGACUUGCAAGCUAAGUAAAGUAAUUGAAAUGUGAAAUCCAUUCAUCGUCUACUUCAUAUUUCUCAUCUGGGAAACUGGUUGCUAGCAAAUCAAAACAAAAAUAAUCGUAAAUAUUCACCUUGUUAUUUAAAUCUUUUGAUAUGAUAUUGCAAUAUAUGAAUAUUAUAUUUCGCAGUGACUCACUUAGACUCGAUCUAUAAGUCCACUCAUAAAUUAUAUUAAUGAAAAAAAAAAAAUUUCUUAUUCAUUUGAUUCAUGGAUAGAUCCAUAGAUUAGUCCACACAUAUCAAUCCCAAAGAAAUAUAGUAUCAAACUAUAAUACAUUGUUACACAAUUACAAUUUUCUCAAAUACAUCAUUAACAAUUACAUUAUAAACCUAUUAAAGAGCAGAAAUUACAAGUUAAAGAAAUGAGGGAAGGGGUUUGGAGUCUGGAACCUAACAGCUAUUAAAAAAAUAUUUUACAAUAUUUUUCAAAAAUUUGAGGAGUUAAUUAUUAAUUUAUAAAAGCCAGUGAAAUUGUAAUUUUUUUACCUGCAGAAGUUGACUAAGAUUGAAGCUUGUGAGAACUAAUUGUCUCAAUUUAAAAGAAUUAACAAUUAGGAUUUGACUAAUGAUUAUUAAUUCUCAAUUUGGAACUUAAUUUGUUUCUUGAAUUUGUGAGAAUAGACUUUGUAUAAUUUUAUUUAGAAUUGGAUUUUAUUUAAGUUUCUAAGUAUGGGUUUUAAACAAAUAAAAUUUAAGAUAGUUAAUCAUUGUUACACAUUUUGUAUUUUUCUUAGCGGGAUGAUAAGAAGACAUUGGAUUGUCUAUGAUAGAUAAUUUAGAAAUAAAUUUGUUUAUUAGAAUAUAAUUAUGAAAAUGUCGUUUUUAUGUUAGAAUAUCUUUUACAUCUCCCUUUUCUUGAGUUGCAUAUUAGAUUAUCCAGUUUGUACACUUGAACACUCUUACACAGAGAGAUGUUGCUAAAAUUUCGAUGAAUAUAUAGUCGAAAAUCCGCCUUUAUAUUUAUAUGCAUAAAUAUUCUAAAUGACAUAGGUUGAUAUUGAAAAUUUAAGAAAAUAUAAGGAGAUUUAGGAUAUUUAUUGACGGAUAUAUAUAUAUUGAUGGCUUGUAAAUUGUAUAAUACGCUAGAUGCCUCAAACGUGAACAUGUGGCUAGAUUGCUAGACACAUUCGAAGUCAUCUAUUGUGGUCCACAUGUUGUACAUUAAGAUUGAAAUGCUUUGAACUAGCUAGACAAGUUAACGCAAUUCCCAAAUAAUUGUUGCGGUGAGAAGGGUGGCUGCCGAUCUACUCCAUCACGCCAUAUUGGAGGGUGGUAAACUAGUCAAUUAAUUUGUUAGUACUAACUUUUUAGCAUUGGUUGAUCACUGGACUUUACAUUGGAGUGCUUCAUCUGAUCAUCUACAUGUUUUACAAAUUUGAAGGAAUUCAACCACAUUUAUCUCAUCUGGUCACCAACUAUAAAUUGGAGAAGUAAGAAACCUUGCUAAAAGUCAUUAAGAUAAAGAAUAUAAUUGGCCAUCUUAUGGACACUAAAAUUAAUUUGUAAUGAGAGUUUCAUUGUUAGUUAUAAAAUAGACAUGACAUUUUUCUUUAUCAAAUUAGUAUAACCUUUUAUAAUGAAAUACAUUUGAUUUCGAAAAUAAAAUUUGAGAAAACUAACUUGUUUUUCUUGAUGAAUGAAAGAAGAAGGUUAGCUUUAUAUAGCUGUACAUUACAACUGAAAAGAAAAAGAAAAAGGAGUCCAAUACGCUAACAAUUUUGAAUAAAAUAAAACAACUAAGCAUCCUAAAGAAACGAGAUUUAUUAACUAAACAACCUUAAAAAUAGACCAUCCAUAAUAAUAAACUAAAACACAAAAGCUCUAAAAUAUAUCAAACUAGGAUAUUUAAACUUAUUUAAGUACACAUAAUAAUAAUUAGACAUAUUAAUUAUUAUCACGUAUUAUUAAUGGAUCCGGGUUAAAAAGGCUAAUAAUGGGUGUACCCAUACCUAUCCAUUAAUUCCAACAAUUUUAAAAAAAUCUCUCCUUCUAGAAAUACUUUGUGAUCAAUGUUUGUAAAAAUAAGAAUUCAAUUUGUGUAAAAAUAUUAUGAAAAGACACGGUCGUAAAUUUUGAAAUAAAAUUAAUCUCAUACUUAAAAAGAACAUGAGAAUUAUAGAAUGAAAAACAACAUUUUCUCUAUUUAAACUUGAUUUGAAAACUAAAAUUUACUUAUAUGCAAAAGAAUUACGUACAUAUUUGGCAUCAACUUGGUUUUUAAAAUUUUAAUUAAAAUAUUUUGAAUUAUUUUUUUAUGCCAUUUGACCUUGAACUGUUAAACAUUCGGCUUGAGGAACUACAACUAACCAUUCAUCGUAUUCGAAUAUAUGCGGGGUUUUGCUUCGGUGUCCGGCCCAAUAAAAAUAUUUGAGACUCUUCACUACUCGAGCCUAAGCCCAAGACCAAGCCCAAUCCAAAAUAUGUUUUAGCCUUCGGGGCUCGGGAUGAGCCGCGGGAACCAGUUUUGUUCUCUAUGAUCACUUUAUUUCAUAUUGAUUCAUGACAGAGUCAAUUUAGAAAAUGUAUGAAAACUUAAAUAGUACUGGGUGUUUUUUACCACAUGCGUUGCAUUGUUAUUGUUUGGUAUUAUUUUGUAAUUUAUACUCAUUAAUUUAUUUUUAUAUAGUAUUAAGUAUGGUUAUAAUUUAUUCUUCAAUAGUAUUAAUUUUUUAAUAUUCAAAUAAUAAGCGAAUAAUAUUUUUCAUAAACUAAUUUUAAUAUGAUAGAACAACAUUAAAAGCCAAGUAUAUUUAAUAAAAUAAUUAUAGACGAUAAAAUGAAUAAAUUAUUAUUAAUUAUAAGAUUAGAUUUUAAUUUUUUUGAAAAUGAUAAGGUUAAUAGCAUCGAUUUCUUUUUAAAAAAACUAAAUAAUAUGAUCUAUGUUAUUGAAUGUUGAUUUGAAUUCAUGAAAAUCAAAUAAAAGAAAUAAAACUCUAAAAUAAAUAAUAAUAAUAAAGAACUGAAAUAUACCUGAACUUCCACAUAAAUAAAUUUCAAUCGGUAACAGAAAAGAUCAUUUUGAUUUUGGAUUUGAUACCGGUUUAGAUUAAUGGUAUUGAGAUCUACAAACUCCAAUUAUAUCCAUUUUUUGAUUUUUUUUUUUUAAGAGUAUCUUGCUUUCAUUAAUUUAUGUUGAGAUGUAGAGAAUAUAUAGAUAUAUAAAAUCCUUUCGUAUGCGCGGUUCUUGUGUUUAUGGAAGAACCUGUUUUGCAAGUAUAUGACAUUUUGACAACCAAUAUUCAUGAAAAAAGAAAAAAAAAUUUGAAAUGUUGCAUUUAUCUAUACCAUAUAAAUUGGAAAACUUCAAUAUAGAUAAAUAGAUAUAAAUUAAAAAAUUCAAAAUUUUAAAAGUGAUAUAUAUAUAUAUAUAUAUAUAUAUAUAUAUAUAAACGUAUGAAACAAUAUCUUUUCUAGAUAUUUUUGUUUUAUUUUUUUGCAUUUUGAAGUUUAUUUUAAAAUUAAAAUAAUAAUUUAUUUUUUCAAACAAUUAAUAUGGUAAAUAAUCAAUUUUUGAAAAUUCAAUUAAAAUAAUAUAUUAAUAUAAUAAUAUUUUUUUAAUCAAUUAACAAAACAGCAUUAAAAAAACUCUAAUUUAUCGAUUAUUAAAAACUCAAACUAUUAUCAAUCGACCAAUAACCAAGGAUAUUUUAGGAUUUCUAAACUUUCACUAAAAAUAUUAUAGGUAAUCUGGUUAAGAGGGAUAAGUGGAAGCAUCAAUCCCAAUACACUCUAAACAUUCUUUUAACAUAUGGGUAUUAAAAUAUCUUUAUUUUCUUUCAUUUGAUACUCUAAUUGUAAAAAUGUUUUUAAUACUAAUUUAUAGCAGUUGCUAAAUAUAUAAAUUUAAGAGAAGGAUGAGAAAUUUAAGAGGGACAAAAUUAAAUAAUUGAGUCUGAUGAAAAACUCUCUAAGAAAUAAAAACGUGCCCGCCUAAAUAGCGGAUAUUUUUCCUUUUUAGUGGAAAAAUAGGCAAAGCUGUAAUCAUGUUUUAACAUUUGAAUUUUGUGAUAAUUCAAGAAUAAUUGUCUACAAGAAAGACAAGAAAAUUGCCAAAGUUAUGAAAAAAAAAAAAAAAAAAAGGAGGUUUGGUAGAACCAUUAUAAAUGGAUGAAGGAGUCGCAAAAAAAAAAAAAAAAAAAAAAAAAAAAAUAAUCGUGUAGAUUAAUAAUGGUAGUUGAAUAAUAAGGAGAGAAAAAAAAUUAAAAUUAAUCCCCAAAUUUAUAACUAACACACGAGAAUUUAUAUUUUCAAAAAGUAACAAUGAGAUCCAUUCCUUAUAAUUUCAUUAACGCUUUAAUCUUUUCUUCUAAAAUAGCAUUUUUAACUAUCAAUUGAUUGAGAAGUUGAUUCCUAAAUUAUAAUCAAACUAAGUAUGAGAUGUUAAAAUUAUAAUUUCAUUAAUAUUUUGGCUCUAAAUAGAAAAAUCAAAUUAUUAAUGAAUAUAUAAAUUAAAAAUUUUAUAGUUAAUUUUUGAAAAGAGAUCUUGAUUUAGGGACCAGCUUAUUCUUUUCCAUAAUAAGAGGGACAAAAUUAAAUAAUUGAGAAACUGUCUAAGAAAUAAAAACGUGCCCACCUAACUGUUGGGAAAAUCGCUAUUUUCCCGCCCUUGGGAUCGGCUUCAAGCAGGAACAAAUGAGAAAAUAAAAUAAUGACUGAGAAAUUAAAGAGAACACGAUAAUUUAAUGUGGAAAAUUCCCCAAGUGGAGAAAAACCACGGCCGUUGCCAAACGACAAUCAAGAAAAAUAUUCACUAUGCGGCAAAUUGUUACAACCACAAUUACAAAAUAUUUUUCUACCCGACACCCUCAAAACCACCCCAAAUAUUUUAUACUCCAAGGGACUCCAAGAGACUUGCUCUAAAUCUCUAAUAUAAAACACAUUCAAGUAUUUUUGGUGUGUUUUGGUGUGUUUAGAAACCUAAACAUUGGCUUCCUUUUAUAGCCAAUUCAAACACUCUCAAAAGCUCAUCUCCCCGAUGUGGGAUUGAGCUAAAUUUUUAUCGUCAAGAAUUAUCAUACUCCACCAUAAAAGAAUUAUCAUAAUUCUUUUAUGAUAAUUAUCAUACCCUUAUCGUCAAUCAUAAUUCUUAUCGUCAAGAAUUAUCAUACUCCACCAUAAAAGAAUUAUCAUAAUUCUUUUAUGAUAAUUAUCAUACCCUUAUCGUCAAUCAUAAUUCUUAUCGUCAAGAAUUAUCAUACUCCACCAUAAAAGAGUAUCGCCACUUGGAACCACUUUACCGACUCCAAGAAUUUUCCAUCGGUCAUGUCAGAUCCUGCUAAUAGUUUAUGGUGCAACCCUCCUGUUGACUUUUCCAAGAGUUCAUUAGCCAUCGACAUAUUUUUUCUACCACACACUUUGCAUCAACUGUCAACCAAUGCCGUGUGCAUUUCUGUGGACCAGCUACCAAUAAUCCGUCCUCUUUCAUGGCAUCUCAAUGGGUAGCAAUCAUGCCAGGAGGACACACAUCUCUUAAUUACAGAGAGAUCACAUCAUCUCCUUCACCACAGGAGAUCACAUUGGCAGCAACAACGUUAGAGCUUCUAGCCGAAUCACCUCCACCGUUCGGGCAAUCCUUCCUCACGUGUCCAGUUUGACCACAAACCCAGCAGACAACCUUCCUCUUUCCGAAGCUUUUAUUCUUUUUCUUGGUACCGACAAAUAAAGCUGAAUCCUCAUAUGAUUUAUUUUUCAUUUCAUUCAGUCUUCUCUCCUCAGUAAGGAGCUUACUAACCACAUCUGCAUACNNNNNNNNNNUUUCAGAACAGGUUUCAUAUGCUCAUAUGUCGAAGGAAGUGACAGGAUGAGUCGGAGAGCUUUAUCUUCAUCUUCGGUUUGCACUCCAAGAGUUUCUAAUUCAGAGACGAUGCCGUUAAGAACACUCAGGUGAUCUGACAGCUUUGUACCUUCUGUCAUUUUCAACGUAUGAAAUUGCUCCUUCAAAUAUAACCUGUUGGAUAUAUUUUUUCCUCGGUACAACUCUUCCAGUUUCUCCCACAACUCCUUUCCUUUGUCGUGGACAAUCCAAGCACAUUAGCAAGNNNNNNNNNNNNNNNNNNNNNNNNNNNNNNNNNNNNNNNNNNNNNNNNNNNNNNNNNNNNNNNNNNNNNNNNNNNNNNNNNNNNNNNNNNNNNNNNNNNNNNNNNNNNNNNNNNNNNNNNNNNNNNNNNNNNNNNNNNNNNNNNNNNNNNNNNNNNNNNNNNNNNNNNNNNNNNNNNNNNNNNNNNNNNNNNNNNNNNNNNNNNNNNNNNNNNNNNNNNNNNNNNNNNNNNNNNNNNNNNNNNNNNNNNNNNNNNNNNNNNNNNNNNNNNNNNNNNNNNNNNNNNNNNNNNNNNNNNNNNNNNNNNNNNNNNNNNNNNNNNNNNNNNNNNNNNNNNNNNNNNNNNNNNNNNNNNNNNNNNNNNNNNNNNNNNNNNNNNNNNNNNNNNNNNNNNNNNNNNNNNNNNNNNNNNNNNNNNNNNNNNNNAGAACUUUCGUACCAGAAUAACUUCAAUAAUUAUUGUCAGGACCUUCACCACCGGUACACAAGCACACCAAAGCAUCCAAAACUCCACCUGUUUUAAAAUAAAAUAAUUUCUAACAACAGUAUUUGUGAUGUGGAAGAUCAGACUAAGCCGUAACCACAGUGCAUACUUAUAAUUUAAAUUACAAGAAAUUAUUUUAAUACUAAAAGCUCCGCCUAACAACUAGGCUCUGAUACCACUUGUUAGGAAAAUCGCUAUUUUCCUGCCCUUCGGAUCGGCUUCAAGCAGGAACAAAUGAGAAAAUAAAAUAAUGACUGAGAAAUUAAAGAGAACACGAUAAUUUAACGUGAAAAACUCCCCAAGUGGAGAAAAACCACGGCCGUUGCCAAACGACAAUCAAGAAAAAUAUUCAUUAUGCGGCAAAUUGUUACAACCAUAAUUACAAAAUAUUUUUCUACCCGACACCCUCAAAACACCCCAAAUAUUUUAUACUCCAAGAGACUUGCUCUAAAUCCUUAAUAUAAAACACAUUCAAGUAUUUUUGGUGUGUUUAGAAACCUAAACAUUGGCUUUCUUUUAUGGCCAAUUCAAACACUCUCAAAAGCUCAUCUCCCCGAUGUGGGAUUGAGCUAAAUUUUUUUUUUCUUUUGUUUUCAACAAAGGCGACUCACACUAACUAGCGGGAAUUUUUGCAGACAGAAUUUUGAAAAAAUACGAAUACGUAGAGUAAUAGUCGAGCAACUUCAAAAUUUCAAAUUUAUUCGCUCGCAUGUUUAAUGGACUGAAAUUAACAUUAUGAGCUAAAUAAUUGAGGUAGUUCACCCUUAAUUCGCCAAAUUGGUAAAAACUCUUAAUCCACCAUUAAUUUAUCAGAUUGGUAAAAAUUUUUAUAGUCAAAAAGACUUGAACUCGAGACCUUUCAUUGCUCGUAUAAAUGAGAAGACAAUCAUACCAUAUCUGAUUGGCUCAAAUAACUUAUAUUAAAGAAUAAUAAUUUUGGCCUAAUAAUAAUGACAUAUAUAGUCAUUCUCUCAUAUUUUUUUUAUAUAUUAUAGAAAAAAUUUUCCUCUUAAGAUUUUAAAAAAAUUACAAUUAAGAGCUGGUUUGGUUUAGCUGUUUACAGCUGCUGAAGUGGAUAGCGGUUGCUAAUAACUAGUGGCUGGUAGUUAAUAGCGAUUAGCUGAUGAAUGUUAAUUGGUACGGUUUUAGCAGUGGUUGAUAAUAAAAUAUAAAAUGACCAUUAAAGAUCUAAUUAUUUUAUAUGUUAUGAUGUAUUGUGUAUAUUUAUUUUAUUUUUAAAGUGAAUAUAUUAUUUUUUAUUUUAUUAUAAUUAUAUAAAUAAAAAUAUUAGUUAAUUUUUUAAAUAAUAUUUUAAUAGAAAAUUGUUAUUAUUAUUAAUGAAUAACUGUAAAUAACAUGACUAUAAAAAUAUUAAUUUACAAAAAAAAAAAGAAAUUUACCAAUAGUUAUUUUUAUAAGGUCAAUGAAUUUGAAAAAAAAUAUAAAUACAAAAAAGUUAGCAAUUGAUAAGAAAAACUUCAAAUCGAAGCUGAUGGAAUUAGUAAUUUUCUAUCAACUGUUAAUUAAAAAGAUUUUUUUUUAUAAUUUUCACUAUAUAUGUAUACACAUCAGUGGAUCCAAAAAAUUAAAUUGGUAGGAGUAAUGUAUAAAUGUAAUAAUUCAACAGGGCUAAAAUAUAAAAAUUCAGUGAAACAAACACAUAUUAACAUAAUUAUAUAUACUAAAACGUAAAAAAUUAUAAAUUAAACUGUAAAAAGCCAGUGGGGCAAGUUGCCUCGUUGCCCCAUUGUAGAUCUGCCCUAAGUAUCAUGCAAGGGAGAAGAUUCUCAAUGUUGAGCUCUCUUUUUAAUUUUUAUUUUUUUAGUAAAGUCAUGUUUAGAUGAGUGGUAAGGAAUAAUAUUUGAUAUUUAUACUUAAAAAAAAUAGUCAAGAAUUUUUUUGUAAAUUUAGAUUUUAUAAUAAUAUUGGUGAGAUCCAAACCUAAGACUUAUUGACAUCUAAGGUAUCACUAAAUCUAUCUUUUAUAUUUAAAAAAAAUUACAUAUAGAUAUCAAUUCUACAAUUCCACUACAAGAAAUGGUAAUUAGAUACACUAAAUAACCACAGAUUAUCAUCAACGAUAAACUAAUUAAUUUACUGAAAAUUUUCAAUUAAAAUAAUGAACAAAUUUCCAAGAAAAGAAAGUCAUAUUUUAGUGGCGGACUGUGUUUACCGUAGCAACGGAAAAUAAAAUAAAGUACAAAUAAUAGCGACGGUACUAUUUCAUCUCGUAACUGAAACAAUUAAUUAAAGAUAAUUAGUGAAGCAAUUUUGCUUUGUAACGGACAUGUAGCAUGUUCAUUUAACUAGUUUAGUGGCAUAUUUUAAAACAUUACUGAUUGAAAUAUUUGUCUGUAAUUUUAAUUUAAACUAAAAAGGCAAUUUUUUCGCCCUCCAGAAUCAAUCAACAGUGGUCGUAUUUCAUUAAUAUGCACUAUUCAUCAAUGCCCAUGACACACGUCCGAGAAAAUAUGCAACUCCUCUUUCCACUAUUAUUCAUUCACUUUCUACUAUUAUUUAUGUUUCAUUUUUCUUUGGUAAUUUGUUGUUUAAUUAUUUAUUUAUCUUAUGUAAUUGUUGAUAUUAGAAGUUGAUUGAUUUUAAUUGAAAUUGUUUUUUAUUUUUUAUUUUUUGGAGUUGAUUAAUUUCAAUAGAUAUUAUUAGAACAAAUAGUGUAAUGUUAUUGUACAAUAAUAUUUUAAUCAGUAUAUAAAAUUAAAUUGGUUUAAUUAAUGAAUAAUAAAUAAUAUAUUUAAUUAACUAGAUUAAAUAAUUAGUAUAAUGACUUAAUUUUUAAAAUGUGAUUGAUUGUAUAAUUAUAAUUAACUUAAUUACAGCAGAAUAUCAUUUCAAAAAAAUUAGAGUAGAAUAUAAAUUGUUGGUUCUUUUAUUAUGUCAUUAUUUGUUUAGGGAAUUAUAUAUAUAUAUAUAUAUAUAUAUAUAUAUAUAUAUAUAUAUAGGAAUUUCAAUGAAUUCAAAAUAAAAUAUAAAUACAGAAAAGUUAACAGUUGAUACGAAAACUUCCAAUCGAAGCUGAUGGAAUUAGUAGAUCUACCCUAUAUAUCAUUCAAGGGAGAAGAUUCUCAAUGCUGAGCUCUCUCUUUUUAUUUUUUAUUUUUUUUAAUAAAGACAUGUUUAGAUGAGUAGUAAGGAAUAAUAUUUGACAUUUAUACUUAAAAAAUUCUGAAAAUUAAGGAAUAAUAUCAUCAACGAUAAACUAAUUAAUUUAAAAUUCUGAAAAUUUUCAGUUAAAAUAAUGAUUGAAUUACCAAUAAAAUGCUGUGAUAUUUUAGCGGCGGAUUGUGUUUACGAUAGCAACAGAAAAUAAAAUAAGGCACAAAAUAAGAAUAAGUGCAGAAAAUAUUUGAAGUCUGAUAUUUGACUAUGGUUUAAUAUUUUGAUAUUAGAGUAAAAAUAAAAUAAGAAGUCAUAAAAUUUGCUCGCUGUUUGGAAAAGAGAGAACGGAAAAUAAGAAAGAAAGGAAAAUAACAAGGGAAAAUAAAAGAAGAUUGUUUUAUUUUCUUUCCUUGGAUAUUUUCCACUUUAGAUUGAAAGGAAAAUAAAGAGAGGAAAGAAAAUAUUACUGUUGCAUAAUUGCAGUUUUAACGUUAACAUUUUAUAUAAUGUUACAAGUUUACUUGACAAAUAAAAAUAAUAUAUUUAAUUAAUUACUAUUUAAUUUAAUUAAAUACCAUCAAUCACAGUCUAAAAAAAAUAAUAUUUAUUUUUUUAAUAUAAAGCAUCAACAAUAAUAUUUUGGUUCUUUCCAAUUUCCAUCCUCUAUAUUUGCUAUUUGUGGAGAAUUGCAGCGACAUGGAAACAAGACAGAGGAGUUAAUUGUUGGAGAUAGGAAAAUGAAUUUUUUUUGUAAUUUUGUACAAACAUUGAAAAUCUCCCACAAAAUUUGUUGUUUUAUCUCCGAUUCGGAGAGAUUGAAAAAUUGCGGGCCAAGAGGAUUUCAGUACAAAUUCUCCUUCCUCUGCAAUUUUCUUAACAUAAUCCAAACAGAAGAAAAUAACUUUCCUCAGUUAUUUUACUCAAUUAUUUUCCUUUCUCAGCUAUUUUCCACCUUUCCAAACACACAUUUAAACAUUUAUGUGGAUUCCUUGGAUUUUUUUAUUUGGUUGAGAAAAAGUAAUUCAUAAAAUUGAUGAAUUUCAUCAUUACUUCAAUUUCGUCAUUUUGAGAGAGAGAAAUCUCAGCUCAGAGUUGGGAUCUUUAUUAAUUACAUACUUUUAUAUGAACGAUGGAAUUUAAAUCAUUUAAUUUUAUUUUAAAAAUAACAUUUCAAACUAUGUAAUUAUUUUCAAUCAAAUAAUAAAAUAUAAGAUUCUAUGCCAACAAGAUGUGGUAUGGUUGGUCUUUUCACUAGUGUGAGGAAUUAGAGGUUUCGCGUUCGAGUCUUAUUUUAAGGAGAGUGAGAGAGGUAGUUAUGUUCAUAGUUUCAGAGCCAUUGGUUUCGGUUUUAAAACUGUAGAUUUCGAUUAUAAAAAGCUUUAAGGAUUGAAUCAAAAUUUAAAUCACUUUUAGGCACACUUUAAGAUGGUUUCAGAACCACCGGUUUUGAUUUCGUUUUGAUUUGAAACCGAAAUUAGAUAAUCAUUUUUAAACUUAUUAUUUUUUUUUAGUUUUGUAUUUUGAAUAAAUAAUAAUAAUAAUAAUAAUAAUAAUAAUACUAUUGGACAAACUAAACCAAAUUAAUAAUUAAAAGUUUUAAAAUUUAAUUUAAAAAUUAUAACAAAACAAAAAAAAUAUAUUAUGUGUUUCUUGUAAAUUUUAGUUUUUCAUAGUUUAAAAUUAGAAUCUUGGAUUCUAAUUUUAGAAAAUGAAGAACCGAAACCAAACAAUAAAAAUAUGAUUUUGAUUAUGGUUUGAAAUCGGAUGCCAUUGAUUGGAGUAUGAUGGCAAUUUUAACUCGAUUACUAUUCGGUUUUGAUUUGAAUUCAACUUCGGUGAUGCCUAUUAAAAUGACUAAUGGCAUGUGUAACAAGGUAGGUGAUACAACUGCAAAUAUUAAAUAAAGAAAAAAAUGUGUGCUAUAAUUAAUAUAUUUAUUAUAUUUCCUCGUAAAGAAAUAUCAUGUCUCUGGUUCACUACAUUGCUGCAGUAUUUAAAGGGUUCACUCAUCAACUCCACUUUCAAAUCAAAACCACACCAAAAAAGAUUACCAACAACAGGAAAUGUCUAUAUCAAAUCUAAUUUCUCUCAACCAACAAUGGCUUCCAAUUCUUGCAGUCUUUCUUCUUCCAAUUUUCUCCCUCUUUCUCUUCAAAAGCAAGAAGAGAACUGAAGGUCCUAAACUACCACCAGGUCCAACACGACUCCCCAUUAUUGGCAAUCUUCACCAGUUAGGCGACAGGCCGUACUACGAUAUGUGGAAAUUGUCACAAAAAUAUGGCCCUGUCAUGCGAGUUCAAUUAGGGAGAUCACCUGGUGUUGUUAUCUCUGGUGCAGAGGCUUCAAGAGAAGCCAUGAAAGACCAUGAUCUUGACACUUGCAGUCGCCCUUUAUCGGUCGGGCCCGGUAGACUGUCAUAUAAUUUCUUGGAUGUUGCAUUUUCUCCAUAUUC